rnacentral:rRNA from 1 species
UGUUGGGUUAAGUCCGUAACGAGCGCAACCCUUGUCCUUAGUUACCAGCACGUUAUGGUGGGCACUCUAAGGAGACUGCCGGUGACAAACCGGAGGAAGGUGGGGGAUGACGUCAAGUCAUCAUGGCCCUUACGGCCUGGGCUACACACGUGCUACAAUGGUCGGUACAAAGGGUUGCCAAGCCGCGAGGUGGAGCUAAUCCCAUAAAACCGAUCGUAGUCCGGAUCGCAGUCUGCAACUCGACUGCGUGAAGUCGGAAUCGCUAGUAAUCGUGAAUCAGAAUGUCCACGGUCGAAUACGUUCCCGGGCCUU